UACAGAGGGUGCAAGCGUUGUUCGGAAUCACUGGGCGUAAAGCGCGCGCAGGCGGAUGGUUGCGUCCGGAGUGAAAUUUCGCCGCUCAACGGCGAAGCUGCUUUGGAUACGGACCGUCUAGGGACCGGUAGAGGCUGGUAGAAUUGCAGGUGUAGCGGUGGAAUGCGUAGAGAUCUGCAAGAAUACCCGUGGCGAAGGCGGCCAGCUGGGCCGGAUCCGACGCUCAUGCACGAAAGCGUGGGGAGCAAACAGG
rnacentral:rRNA from 1 species